CUCUGGUCCAGUGUGCGCAGUUAAUCAUCGCUCUGUUUUUCAAGGACCCUAUUUUCUGGACUUCUUGUCAUGGACCGUGACAGAGGACUGUGAGUUUAUAAUCAAAUGCAAGGUGACCAACGUAAGCAAGGAUACGACUCUGAAGUGGUUCAAGGACGGCGUGGAGACUCCAGCUGUGUAUGACCAGCAGACUGGAGUCAGCACCAUGACUGUGCAACAGAGUAUGACAAGCUCCUCCAACUCCUGAGCAAACAGUGUGCGCUGUCUGCAGGCCCAGUGAGGAUUCAAUGCACUGCUAUGGGCUUCAAGCUCUACUGCUCUCUCAAGUACUAUAUCAGCUACAUGAAGACCAGCUGGCACUUCAAGGAGAGUAGCAUUGACCAGUUGGAGAGGUGUAAGCCUGGCAGCAGUAUGCAGAAGCUGUGGGUCGAGGUCUUCGCGCCCACGGAGAACGAUAAGGGGAAGUACACUCUGGAGAUGUUAGAUGGUCAAGAAAAGCACCCGCUCACUGGACCUAUCUGGACAAGCCUUUGCUGAUGCUCUGUUGGAAUACCAGAGAUUGAAGUAAGUGCAUUACCAUAUUGAUGGUGAGCGCCCAGCAUGGCUUGCAGUGGUAAACACUAACACAAACAAUUGCAGGUACUAUUUUCUAUCACUAUUCUCACAUGGACAAACAAAAAACUGUUCUAUAUUCAAUAUUAAUGAGUUGACAUAUAGUAUGGUGAUAGAUAUGAAACCAUUUGCAAAUGUAUUUAUCGGAUUUACCCUUGCUUUUUACUACAAAGGCAAGUGGCGGUUACUGAGAAAGAUCGGGCCAGGGUGACCAAGGGCCUACCAGAUGUGGUGGCUAUCAUGGAGAAUAAAUCUCUGUGCUUGACCUGUUUUGCUGACGGUGACCCUGCCCCAGAGAUGAUCUGGCUGAGGAACGACAAAGGCAUCGUCUCAGGGGGCCAGUUCAACAUCGCCAACGAGAAUAAGUGCAGCACUCUGACCGUCAACAGUGUGACUAGCGAGGAAUCAGGCAACUAUUGCAUCUUUGUGCGCAACCAGUUACGGCACUCAGACGGUCAACGUGACCGUGAGCGUGUACAAGCAUGGCGAGAAGCCCCCGCACGAUGCAGUGGAGAUGGAAGGAAGGAAGGAAGGAGUGUUGGUUUUGUUGCACUAAGAGACGAUUACAACUGGGUACCAGACGUCAAUUCAAUGUAUUUUCAACACUGGUUCCACAUGACGUGAAAACAACGUUCAUUCAACCAGUGUGUGCCCAGUGGGUUGUGUUUGUGUGGUGGUUGAGCCAGUUCGUUUCAUGGGGUUAAAUUGGAGUUAAUGGGGAGUGAAAUGCUAGAAGCGGUUAAUUUGUGGCAUUGGGAUGUAGCAAUGACUAAGAAGUUACUUGUGCUAGAGGGAAUGCAGUCAAUUAGGACAAUUUGAGGUCCAGUCAAAACUGCAACAACCUGUAUUCUUGUGUCAUUAGACUACCAGUAAAUAUCCCAAGAGUGUCAGCUACAAUUUUAUGAUGUCGCCCCUUUCUUUCUGGAGCAAUUUAAUAAUAGGACCUGUGAGCAGGGGCUAGAAAGCUCUGAAGUAGGAUUCAUUGGCCAAGGCGAGCACGUUUUAUUUAAGUUUUAUUUCAUGUCUUGACAGCAGCAGACUUGAUGCCAAUUGCAAUUAUCUCCCAUGUUGUAUUUCACUAGAGGUGUCAUGUUAGUCCUGUACACGGAGCAAAUCACAUAGGUGCACGACACGUCAAGUGCGUUUUUCUAUAUCAACCUAAUUUAUGCUCUGACCUCCCUGUAAUAAGGCUGUAAUCUCACUCACUCAGUCGGCACCUGCAGCUCAAGUAGGUUUAUUAGCCUGUCCGCUCUCCACAUACAGCGUUUGUCAUAUCAUGUGUCUCUGCAAUCGCUUCUAAUAA